rnacentral:rRNA from 1 species
UACGAAGGGGGCUAGCGUUGCUCGGAGUUACUGGGCGUAAAGGGUGUGUAGGCGGUUUUUUAAGUUUGGUGUGAAAUCUCCCGGCUCAACUGGGAGGGUGCGCCGAAUACUGAAAGACUAGAGUGCGGGAGAGGAAAGUGGAAUUCCUGGUGUAGCGGUGAAAUGCGUAGAUAUCAGGAGGAACACCGGUGGUGUAGACGGCUUUCUGGACCGUAACUGACGC